UACAGAGGUCUCAAGCGUUGUUCGGAUUCAUUGGGCGUAAAGGGUGCGUAGGCGGCGCGGUAAGUCGGGUGUGAAAUCUCGGAGCUUAACUCCGAAACUGCAUUCGAUACUGCCGUGCUUGAGGACUGGAGAGGAGACUGGAAUUUACGGUGUAGCGGUGAAAUGCGUAGAUAUCGUAAGGAAGACCAGUGGCGAAGGCGGGUUCUG
rnacentral:rRNA from 1 species